UCUAUUCCAACCAUUUUUUCAAUAGUAUACUAUUAAAAUACUGAAACGACGUCGUCAUACAUGUUUAGGUUAAAACUUUCCGAAUCGAUUGGUUGUUAAAUUAUAACAAUCCAUCAACAAAUGACCGAGUUAUUAACGUUCAAAAUUAUGACACAAAAAGGUUACGCGACUAUUUUUGAAACUUUUAAUUAACACCCGGCCCCAUAUAGUGAAGAGUAAGAGAGUGCCAAAAACGAAACAAGAUGACUGGAACUAGUCGAGUUACUAACGUUUUGUUAAGUGGUUUGGAAUUCACGAGUGAUUUACUAGAAGUUUUUUCACAGUGUGAUCUUGAUCUACAUACAUUGUGCACGGUUUCAUUCGAUGAACUAAAAGAACAUUUGAAACCGAAUGCAGCAGGAGGAACCAAUUGGAAAUACGGUGCUAUUUGUGAUAUGAUAGAUGCUUGGAGGGAGUGAAAUCAAUUAGCUAUCGCGGAGGAAGUUAGACUGAGUGUAUGCAAGGAAAAACUGAUUAUUGCAAAUUCGAAGGAAAGUGAAAGUUCACCUCCACAAUCUUCUCUGUUCAAUCAAGGGGAAACUCAAGAGUCAAUCGGCUUGGACGCCGAGGAAAAUCAAGUUGUGUCAACGGAAGUUGAAUAUCAAUCUGCCGAAUUGAACCUCCGAAUCACCCAGGAAAAUUGUCCCAAUUUCGCAGAUAUCAUAAACAAUCCGAUGUUUGCAAUGUACUUCUACUGCCGAGAAAGCCGAAUCACGUUUGUAUUCGGAAAAUCGUAAUACAUCAAAUUAUUCAUUCGCUACGGGAGACGCAGCAGUUCCGCUAUCACCCAGUGUUUUAUUAGGGCUUCUGACCCAAACUAAGGAGGGGAAAGAAAUAACAAUAUGUGCUAAGGACGGAGAACUUUCAGAGGCUAAGCAGUUUCAACUAGCUGGUGUGAUCGCUCGUUAUCAUUUAGGUCAGUGUAAGAUCACUAAAAAAGAGCUCUUGGAGAAUUACGUUCGUGUUAUAACCACUCUUUUUCCACACGAAAAGUCUGUAAAUUAUUACACUCCUAAAAAUGGGGACCGAAAAAACUUCGGUGGCAAAGUUGCAAAUAAGAUAGGAAAUUUUAAGCAAAAAAAGCGGAAAUCUGAUGCAAAAGAGGUAAAACACAGGAAAAAAAAUUAAGUGCCAAAAACCGAUUGAUACGUUGACAGAUCCAGAAGCGCAAGUAGCAACUGAAUGGUCAAAAUUAAAUUCAGAGCCAUGGAGUACGGUACUGGAAACAAUACCUCCGAAACAAAAAGCAGAUAAGGCAACUUUUUUCAUCGUUCGAGCACUACAAAUUGCGACCGGGAUAUCACUUAUUCGAUAUUGAUUUUCAUCUUACUAACAUCGGUACACUAAGUGGAUUGGAAAGGCUGGCAAGUUUGAGAGCGGGAUUGAUUACCUAUGUAACCAAACAUGCUCAGGAUCCAUCGCAGACAGUUUGAUUUCCGUUUCGAUUGAUAGUUCCUCAUCUGAAGAUAAGGCAACUUUUUUCAUCGUUCGAGCACUACAAAUUGCGACCGGGAUAUCACUUAUUCGAUAUUGAUUUUCAUCUUACUAACAUCGGUACACUAAGUGGAUUGGAAAGGCUGGCAAGUUUGAGAGCGGGAUUGAUUACCUAUGUAACCAAACAUGCUCAGGAUCCAUCGCAGACAGUUUGAUUUCCGUUUCGAUUGAUAGUUCCUCAUCUGAAGAUACCAAACUCUGCACGCUUUUGCUUGGACCUAAUACAAUAUUACUAUUCUUGUAGCACAAGAGGAUACAAUUUUGUUCGUGCCGACAGAAUAACAAAUUCGUUCAAUAAUCCAAUCAGUUUAUGCAGACUUAUGCUGAGCGUAAUCUAGCGAUUGUACCGAAGCUCGUAUUUUUAGGAUCUAGCUACGAUCAACUUGAUGGGAGAUUCUUCGUAUGUUAUGACACUGUGUUAUAUGUUAUGAACUACCUUCAGCGACAAGAUCUCUAGAUGUACUCAUAAAACGAACAGCAGCAUUGGAUCUACCAUAUUCAAAACUCUCCAAACUAGUUUGGCAUUUUGUCGUGAAUACGACUUACUUUACUAUGGGGCGCCUUUUCAACCCGAUCAGAGGAGAAUAUCUAACGAAGACCAUAUUAUGUCAUUCAUUUCGGAAUAUCUAAAUAGUUUUAUUUGGUAUUGGUUAGGUUGAAUUAAGAGCUAAAAUAUCAAAACUGAAUACCAAAAACUUAGACCAUUUAUACCAGAUUCAUAACAAAUUGAGCUAUUUAAGAUACCAAAACAAUACCACAAGAAUAUUAGUUUAUACCCAAUUUCUUUCUUGAUGUCUAUUUGAACCCAAUUUUGAUUACUACGAUUUAGUCGUGCUGAUCUAAAAAUAGAAUCACAAGCUUAAUGUAUUUAUAGCCAACAUUUAGGCGUAUGAAAUUUGCCAUAAAAAAUAUUUGAGGGGAAGAGCUUAAUUGCAUACUUGAAGGCUAAAUUUAGUUAUGAAUUAUAUUUAACAUGUUUGUUAAAGAUGAAACAGUUUCGAACCUGCGCUUUUGAAGUGGAAGGCGGUAGCUUCAACGCAAGGCCAUGGCAUCCGAUUGUUAGUGAGUGGAAAUACAGCCAUUAUAUUAUAAGCCCUACUAAAUGACUUCGUCACCCAGCUAUGAGAACGCUUUCAUAGCUGCUUCGAACUGUUUAAUUUUUUGUCUCUUUCCUUCCUUCUAGAUGUUUUUAUUUCUUUUUGUUCGACGUUUCGCUUUUCGUGGUAAUGAAUAAUCGAAUUGCAAAAUCUGGUCUGCGUUUGCUAUUAAUAAUCUAAAAUCAAAAUCAAUCAUUUCUCGAGCAUAAAAUAAAUACUUUGCAAAUGUUAAAUGUGAAUGAGAUGAUACAGAUAUUAAAUUUACUUCGACAAACAACUUUCUAAUCCUUCGUGGAAUUUGAACGGGAUGGUUUUGAUUUUUCUAUGAGUUGAUCUUGGGUAUUAAAAAACGUUUAUCGACGUCAAAGGCUCUCAUUUUCUUUCAUCAAUAAACGUGAUGCAAAAAUAUGCAAAUAAUAAAUAAGAUUAAUGAACUUUUGUGCAUGCAUUCCAAGUAGAUUCAUGAGAUUCUCAAAUAUGUAGUAAAAACAUAACUACUAUAUUAAAUUUUUCUAGUGCAUUUAGUAUAUAACCACACAAUGAGGUCUUGUUCAUCGCACCUCAACGAAAUUAUAAUGCUAUUCUAUGUCGCCUAUUUUUGGUACACUGCAGUAGUUUCGAAUGUUUUGUCAGAGCUCUGGAAUCGACAGAUAAACGAAAUUUUUUUGUGCGGGUUUCUUAAUCAUAACGGCUUUUGAAAUUGCUUUUCACCAGGUUAACCAGAAAAACACAUAUAAUUUAAUGACAAGUGGAUAUUACAGACCGUGAUUCGACAAUACAAAGGGUGAAAAUAUCUCAAAUGUUCAUGGAACUAGCAUGGAGUAAGACCCGGCCCCCAAAAACACGUUUUGUGAAGACUAAACAGAGUAUAUGUUAACCGGAAUCCAUUUCAUCUAUUCCAUUUCGGAAAAGGUCUUUUUGUAAAUCUUUGUAAGGGACACAUUAAGAAAAAAUCAUGUAAAUUUACGUCUCACCAGCUAACCUGAAGUUAUACAUCGCGUUUUGCAUACAAUUUUUUGUUCGGUUCUAGAAAUGAAGAUGUUUUACAACAAUUUUUGCAUUAUAUAUACGAUCUGAGUCUGUUUUUUACACCCAAUAUUUUUAUCCGGUGUUUGUAUUUAAAAAUAUUUAAGAGUGUUUUUCAUACUAAAUAGUACGUUUCCGAUUUUUGCAUGGAUUUACAAAGUAUCAUAUACCACUUGAAUCCGAUCGUCGAGAUCGGCAAAGUCUGUAUGUGUGUGCUCAACAAAUCGAGUGCACUUUCUCUCAGAGUUGGUUGAACCGAAUUUCAUAAGAUUAGAUUCGUUUGAACGGUCUUGUGAUUCUAUACAAUGCUCAAGAAUUUUAGUUGAAUGUAAAUUCCGGUUACGGAGUUACAGGAAGAUAAGUGCAAACAUUUUGACUAGGUGCUUAUCAUAAAUGACCGUGUAGAGAGCUGCGAUUCGCUUGAAAAUUGAUCAUAAAUUUCUCUAGUUACUCUUGCAGACAGAUCACCCACUGUAAUACCGGUCCCCAGUUUCUGGUUCCGUAAGUACCGGAAAAAUGCAAACAUUCUCAGUGAAGAUUUCUCAGAGAUGAAUGAAUGAAUUUUCAUAAACUUAGGUGUAAAUGAAAGGUAUUAUAAUUUUACACGAUACUCGUGAACACUAUGCGUAUCCGACUUUCGGUUUCGGAAUUACAAGGUGAUAUAGGCUCAAACUAUCAAAGAGUUGUUAAAGAGCGAUAAUGUGGGGAACGGACAAAACGGAUCUGUUCAAUACUGUUCACAAAUUGAAAAGGUGAUGCUAGUUUAUAUCCAAAUAAACUUUUAUGAUUUCUUUCAAGACUCAAUUAUUCUCUUUUUAAAUGCAUUAGUAACGCUUAUAAAAUAGGAGUAACAAGAGAAAGGAUUUAUCGCACCUCUAUGUGCUUUAAAACAAGGUUUUUCGUAAAUUCCGAUCGAUUUAAGCCUAGAUAUAAUGGAUAUAAUGGUGUUGCUCGGAAAUGUUUCGGGAAGAUAAGGCCGAAAAAUUUUCUUGAAGUUUUCCUGCUUAGUGAAAUACUCUGAUUGUAGUGAAACAUAACUAAGAUGGCAACCCGAUUAAACAAUACUCCGUAAAUGUUCACAUUGCUCACGUUCUCAGAUCUCACAAUAAUCAUAAAAUUCAUGGUAUCUUCGUCAAAUUGUGUCAGUUUUGUGUUGUUAUGUUUUCCGUAAAAUUCGAUCAAUUUUAACUUACACUUCUCAUGUUUGGGGCACUUGCUACAGAAAUGGCUUUAUAAUUUCGAUUGAUAUAAUAUAAAAUAUAUCUUUUUUUGUCAAGAAGCAUCGUUUCUCGUCACAUAAAUUUUAUAUUGAACUCUCCAUUUUUAAUGAACUUACUACAGCUCUCCUCCAUAAUAAGCCUCAUGACCACCUCUGAAUAGCGCCAAGCUUGGUGACGAUUUCUUUAGUUGUUUCGUAGUUAUGCUGAAACAUUCAUACACUCGCGUUCAUAAGCAAAUCAAUAUAAUUGUCCCUUAGUUCUUUGAAUUUCCCGGCAUAUUACACCCCCAUAUCCAAGGCACUUGCUACAUCCGCCCCCCAUAUUAUCAUAUCUUCGGUAUGCAAAAUGUUUCUAUGGUCUUCAAAACGCAUCAAUUUUCGUCAAAUUAUAUGACCACUCCCCCACCCCCCUCUCGGUUAAUGACACUUGAUACCAUCCCUCCCCUAUAAAAAUACCCCUAAGACCAUCUCUGAAAUGCAAGAAUUACUUGUGCCAAGUUUGGUGGCAAUCCGUAAAGAAGUUCCGGAGUUAUGGCGUUACAAAUAUUAUAGAUAUAGAUUAUACUUCGAAUAAAUUAAUCAGUCCUCAAAAUCAUUUAAACAGGGUUUACAAUAUUCAAUCCAUUAUUCUGCCAAAAUUCGAGUUUUUUGUGUAUAUUAUGAACUUCUCACUAAAAUUUACUAAAAUGACAGAAAAUGCUGACAGCGGCACUUUAAUACACUCAUACAUUACUCACUGUCAGAAUAAGAAAAUAAUAUUAAAACGAGCUAUCAUUGUAAAUUUAUUCAUUA